CUGGGGGUAGGCUAUCUCGGAAAUAAUCUGCCCACGCGUUAAGCUGCUUUAUCCCCGCCAAGCCUCAGCCGGACAGAGACUGAACCAGCUCUGCUACCUCCCACAGGGAAGUUGGAAUCAUAGUGGGAGAAAGAAAAAGUGCCACAGGGUGCGGAAUUAAGUUUGACAAAUCUUUGUUUUGUGAAUUAGAGGAGUGUGUUUGUCACAUACAUGGAAACCUGACCGGACCCUGACAAACAGACCUGAAGCUGAACCCGCCGUGUGUUCAUCCUGGGAGACAGGAGGCGUAAAACAAGUGCACACUGAGAAUUUAACCACAGCGAGAAGCUGGCAACGGUGUUUUGGGCAUGGACAGCACUGGACUUUGGAUAUUCCUGAUAACAACUUGUCUUAUUCCAGAGGUUGAUGGUCCGCAUCCUUGGCUCACAUACUACACAUCGCACAUCCUCCGCCAUCCUGCUGCUAAAGAAUUAAACAAAGGCAACCCAGGGGAAGGUGGUGUCAAAGAGGACGGGAGGCUGGACCAUUAAAAAG
rnacentral:lncRNA from 1 species